rnacentral:rRNA from 1 species
UACAUGUGGGGCAAGCGUUGUUCGGAAUUACUGGGCAUAAAGGGUGCGUAGGUGGUUUGUUAAGUCAGGGGUGAAAUCCCGCGGCCCAACCGUGGAACUGCCUUUGAUACUGGGUGUCUUGAGUGUGAGAGAGGUAUGUGGAACUCCGAGUGUAGAGGUGAAAUUCGUAGAUAUUCGGAAGAACACCAGUGGCGAAGGCGACAUACUGGCUCAUUACUGACGCUGAGGCUCGAAAGCGUGGGGAGCAAACAGG